AAGCCUAUGAGGAUUAGAUUGAAUUGGAAUUACCGUCUGAAUUUAUUGAUGUGAAAUUCUGGCUUUCUGAGGCUCACU